GACUGACCUUCACGCAGCUGCACAAUGCUGCAUUUGGAAGCUGGACCUGACCACAUUCAUUUCCCUCUAGAUUCAUGUUCUGGAGAAAUGAAAAUGCUGUCUCAGUGGAAUGUUGAUUAGCUGGAGUGGAGACCCAAGAUCUCUGUCCAGGCAGUGCCAUCAGCUAGAGGUGGCCCUGUGAUUGAUGAGUGACCAGCCAUGUGUGGAGAAAAGCAAUGUGAACAACUUCUGACUUCGCGGUUAAAGAAAAUUGGUCUGUCCCCCAUUUCCUUGCAUUCCCAUCCUUACUGGCUGAAAUUCAAAGCUGAUAAAUGGAGCUAGAGCAGAUAUCUGGGAAAAUGAGUUGAGGGUCUUACAUUAAGACUUGCCAGCAAGAAGAAGAAUUUUUCCAGGGUUCCUGACACCACCAAAUUGUUUGAUCAGCUCUGAACUCUCUACUGAGAUUCUUUAAGUAUGAGAGACAUGAACUUUGACUGGCUUAAGGUGAGCUAUUGAGGUCUGUUUGCUAUUGUGACCUAACUCAGGGGUCAGCAAAUAACACUCUCUGCACAAAAUCUGACCUACGAUCUGUUUUCGUAACUAAAUAAAAUUUCACUGAAACACA
rnacentral:lncRNA from 1 species